rnacentral:rRNA from 1 species
ACUCCUACGGGAGGCAGCAGUGGGGAAUAUUGCACAAUGGGGGAAACCCUGAUGCAGCCAUGCCGCGUGUGUGAAGAAGGCCUUCGGGUUGUAAAGCACUUUCAGUAGGGAGGAAGGUAGUGUAGUUAACACCUGCAUUAUUUGUACGUUACCUACAGAAGAAGCACCGGCUAACUCCGUGCCAGCAGCCGCGGUAAGUACGGAGGGUGCGAGCGUUAAUCGGAAUUACUGGGCGUAAAGCGCAUGCAGGCGGCCUGUUAAGUCAGAUGUGAAAGCCCGGGGCUUAACCUCGGAAUUGCAUUUGAAACUGGCAGGCUAGAGUCUUGUAGAGGGGUUAGGAAUUUCAGGUGUAGCGGUGAAAUGCGUAGAGAUCUGAAGGAAUACCAGU